GACGAACGCUGGCGGCGUGCCUAAUACAUGCAAGUCGAACGAAGCUGUUUUAACUGGUGCUUGCACCGACUUAAACAACUGAGUGGCGAACGGGUGAGUAACACGUGGGUAACCUGCCCCAAAGCGGGGGAUAACAUUUGGAAACAGAUGCUAAUACCGCAUAACCACAGAAACCACAUGGUUUCUGUGUCAAAGAUGGUUUCGGCUAUCACUUUGGGAUGGACCCGCGGCGUAUUAGCUAGUUGGUAAGGUAAUGGCUUACCAAGGCAAUGAUACGUAGCCGAACGGGUAGGUUGAUCGGCCACAUUGGGACUGAGACACGGCCCAAACUCCUGCGGGAGGCAGCAGUAGGGAAUCUUCCACAAUGGACGAAAGUCUGAUGGAGCAACGCCGCGUGAGUGAAGAAGGUUUUCGGAUCGUAAAACUCUGUUGUCAGGGAAGAACGUGUGCGAGAGUAACUGUUCGUGCAGUGACGGUAUCUGGCCAGAAAGCCACGGCUAACUACGUGCCAGCCGCCGCGGUAA
rnacentral:rRNA from 1 species